UUCUAUGUAAAUAGAUGUUGAAAGACCCCCGAAGGGAGACCCCUCACUCAAGCCUCGGGAAAGGCGCGCACCCAGUAGGCACCAAGACCA
rnacentral:pre_miRNA from 11 species